GGGUUGUGAGGUUAAGCGACCAAGCGUACACGGUGGAUGCCCUGGCAGUCAGAGGCGAUGAAGGACGUGCUAAUCUGCGAUAAGCGCCGGUAAGGUGAUAUGAACCGUUAUAACCGGCGAUUUCCGAAUGGGGAAACCCAGUGUGAUUCGUCACACUAUCAUUAACUGAAUCCAUAGGUUAAUGAGGCGAACCGGGGGAACUGAAACAUCUAAGUACCCCGAGGAAAAGAAAUCAACCGAGAUUCCCCCAGUAGCGGCGAGCGAACGGGGAGGAGCCCAGAGCCUGAAUCAGCAUGUGUGUUAGUGGAAGCGUCUGGAAAGGCGCGCGAUACAGGGUGACAGCCCCGUACACAAAAGCGCACAUGUUGUGAGCUCGAUGAGUAGGGCGGGACACGUGGUAUCCUGUCUGAAUAUGGGGGGACCAUCCUCCAAGGCUAAAUACUCCUGACUGACCGAUAGUGAACCAGUACCGUGAGGGAAAGGCGAAAAGAACCCCGGCGAGGGGAGUGAAACAGAACCUGAAACCGUGUACGUACAAGCAGUGGGAGCACAGAUUUACCUGUGUGACUGCGUACCUUUUGUAUAAUGGGUCAGCGACUUAUAUUCUGUAGCAAGGUUAACCGCAUAGGGGAGCCGAAGGGAAACCGAGUCUUAACCGGGCGUUAAGUUGCAGGGUAUAGACCCGAAACCCGGUGAUCUAGCCAUGGGCAGGUUGAAGGUUGGGUAACACUAACUGGAGGACCGAACCGACUAAUGUUGAAAAAUUAGCGGAUGACCUGUGGCUGGGGGUGAAAGGCCAAUCAAACCGGGAGAUAGCUGGUUCUCCCCGAAAGCUAUUUAGGUAGCGCCUCGUGAACUCAUCUCCGGGGGUAGAGCACUGUUUCGGCUAGGGGGCCAUCCCGGCUUACCAACCCGAUGCAAACUGCGAAUACCGGAGAAUGUUAUCACGGGAGACACACGGCGGGUGCUAACGUCCGUCGUGAAGAGGGAAACAACCCAGACCGCCAGCUAAGGUCCCAAAGUCAUGGUUAAGUGGGAAACGAUGUGGGAAGGCCCAGACAGCCAGGAUGUUGGCUUAGAAGCAGCCAUCAUUUAAAGAAAGCGUAAUAGCUCACUGGUCGAGUCGGCCUGCGCGGAAGAUGUAACGGGGCUAAACCAUGCACCGAAGCUGCGGCAGCGACACUUUAGUGUUGUUGGGUAGGGGAGCGUUCUGUAAGCCGUUGAAGGUGGCCUGUGAGGGUUGCUGGAGGUAUCAGAAGUGCGAAUGCUGACAUAAGUAACGAUAAAGCGGGUGAAAAGCCCGCUCGCCGGAAGACCAAGGGUUCCUGUCCAACGUUAAUCGGGGCAGGGUGAGUCGACCCCUAAGGCGAGGCCGAAAGGCGUAGUCGAUGGGAAACGGGUUAAUAUUCCCGUACUUGGUGUUACUGCGAAGGGGGGACGGAGAAGGCUAUGUUGGCCGGGCGACGGUUGUCCCGGUUUAAGCGUGUAGGCUGACUUUCCAGGCAAAUCCGGAGAGUCAAGGCUGAGGCGUGACGACGAGGCACCACGGUGCUGAAGCAACAAAUGCCCUGCUUCCAGGAAAAGCCUCUAAGCAUCAGGUAACAUCAAAUCGUACCCCAAACCGACACAGGUGGUCAGGUAGAGAAUACCAAGGCGCUUGAGAGAACUCGGGUGAAGGAACUAGGCAAAAUGGUGCCGUAACUUCGGGAGAAGGCACGCUGACACGUAGGUGAAGUGGUUUACUCAUGGAGCUGAAGUCAGUCGAAGAUACCAGCUGGCUGCAACUGUUUAUUAAAAACACAGCACUGUGCAAACACGAAAGUGGACGUAUACGGUGUGACGCCUGCCCGGUGCCGGAAGGUUAAUUGAUGGGGUCAGCGCAAGCGAAGCUCCUGAUCGAAGCCCCGGUAAACGGCGGCCGUAACUAUAACGGUCCUAAGGUAGCGAAAUUCCUUGUCGGGUAAGUUCCGACCUGCACGAAUGGCGUAAUGAUGGCCAGGCUGUCUCCACCCGAGACUCAGUGAAAUUGAACUCGCUGUGAAGAUGCAGUGUACCCGCGGCAAGACGGAAAGACCCCGUGAACCUUUACUAUAGCUUGACACUGAACAUUGAGCCUUGAUGUGUAGGAUAGGUGGGAGGCUUUGAAGCGUGGACGCCAGUCUGCGUGGAGCCGGCCUUGAAAUACCACCCUUUAAUGUUUGAUGUUCUAACGUGGACCCGUGAUCCGGGUUGCGGACAGUGUCUGGUGGGUAGUUUGACUGGGGCGGUCUCCUCCUAAAGAGUAACGGAGGAGCACGAAGGUUGGCUAAUCCUGGUCGGACAUCAGGAGGUUAGUGCAAUGGCAUAAGCCAGCUUGACUGCGAGCGUGACGGCGCGAGCAGGUGCGAAAGCAGGUCAUAGUGAUCCGGUGGUUCUGAAUGGAAGGGCCAUCGCUCAACGGAUAAAAGGUACUCCGGGGAUAACAGGCUGAUACCGCCCAAGAGUUCAUAUCGACGGCGGUGUUUGGCACCUCGAUGUCGGCUCAUCACAUCCUGGGGCUGAAGUAGGUCCCAAGGGUAUGGCUGUUCGCCAUUUAAAGUGGUACGCGAGCUGGGUUUAGAACGUCGUGAGACAGUUCGGUCCCUAUCUGCCGUGGGCGCUGGAAGACUGAGGGGGGCUGCUCCUAGUACGAGAGGACCGGAGUGGACGCAUCACUGGUGUUCGGGUUGUCAUGCCAAUGGCACUGCCCGGUAGCUAAAUGCGGAAGAGAUAAGUGCUGAAAGCAUCUAAGCACGAAACUUGCCCCGAGAUGAGUCUUCCCUGAGACUUUGAGUCUCCUGAAGGAACGUUGAAGACGACGACGUUGAUAGGCCGGGUGUGUAAGCGCAGCGAUGCGUUGAGCUAACCGGUACUAAUGAACCGUGAGGCUUAACCUUACAACGCCGAAGCUGUU
rnacentral:rRNA from 1 species